rnacentral:misc_RNA from 1 species
GAUGAAGAACGUAGCGAAAUGCGAUAAGUAAUGUGAAUUGCAGAAUUCAGUGAAUCAUCGAAUCUUUGAACGCAUCUUGCGCUCCUUGGUAUUCCUUGGAGCAUGCCUGUUUGAGUAUCAUGAGCAAAUCUCAAAGUCAAUUCCUUUUGUUAAUUCAAUUGGUUUUGCUUUGGACUUGGAGGUCUUGCAGAUUUUCACAGUCUGCUCCUCUUAAAUGCAUUAGCUGGAUCUCAGUAAUUAUGCUUGGUUCCACUCGGCGUGAUAAGUAUCACUCGCUGAGGACACUGUUAAAAAGGUGGCCAGGAAAAUACUGAUUGAACCGCUUCUAACGGUCUAUUAAGUUAGACAAUUACCCUUAAGUUUGAUCUCAAAUCAGGUAGGACUACCCGCUGAACUUAAGCAUAUCAAUAAGCGGGAGGA